UAAAGCAAGAAAGGGCGUAUGGGGAAUGCCUAGGCACACUCCGGCGAAGAAGGACGCAGCAAACAGCGAAAUGCGACGGGAAGCGGUAAGCACGCAAAGAUCCGUCGAUAUCCGAAUGGGGGAACCCGCAUGGAGUCAAAUCCAUGGAUCACAUGUUGAAUACAUAGACAUGAUGAGGCGAGACGCAGGGAACUGAAACAUCUAAGUACCUGCAGGAAGAGAAAAUAAGAAUGAUUUUCUGAGUAGCGGCGAGCGAAAGGGAAAGAGCCCAAACCGAUCUGAGGAUCGGGGUAGUAGGAUCAUCAAUAAAUCUGACAGAGGAUCAUAGAGGAAUCACAUGGGAAGGUGAGCGAGAGAGGGUGAGAGCCCCGUACUCGAAAUGAGAGACUGGAGAGAGAUGACACCUGAGUAGGGCGGGACACGAGAAAUCCUGUCUGAAUCAGCCGGGACCAUCCGGCAAGGCUAAAUACGAGAGAGUGACCGAUAGUGAACCAGUACCGUGAGGGAAAGGUGAAAAGAACCCCGGGAGGGGAGUGAAAGAGAACCUGAAACCAUAUGCCUACAAGAAGUCAGAGCCCGUUAAAGGGUGAUGGCGUGCCUUUUGUAGAAUGAACCGGCGAGUUACUGUAUGGAGCGAGGUUAAGCAGGAUAUGCGGAGCCGAAGCGAAAGCGAGUCUUAAGAGGGCGCGAGUUGCAUGCAGUAGACCCGAAACCGGGUGAUCUAGCCAUGACCAGGUUGAAGUUGGGGUAAAACCCGAUGGAGGACCGAACCGACCCCCGUUGAAACGUUGGCGGAUGAGUUGUGGCUAGGGGUGAAAUUCCAAUCGAACCCGGAGAUAGCUGGUUCUCCCCGAAAUAGCUUUAGGGCUAGCGUCGAGGUAGAGAGUUGCGUGAAGGUAGAGCACUGAAUAUGUGAUGGCCCCAUCUCGGGGUACUGAGCAUAAUCAAACUGCGAAUGUCACGCCAACAUGCUCGGCAGUCAGACAGCGGGUGAUAAGGUCCGUUGUCAAGAGGGAAACAGCCCAGACCAUCAGCUAAGGUCCCAAAAUGUAUGCUAAGUGGAAAAGGAUGUGGAGAUGUACAGACAACUAGGAGGUUGGCUCAGAAGCAGCCAUCCUUUAAAGAGUGCGUAACAGCUCACUAGUCGAAUGACUCUGCGCCGAUAAUUUACCGGGGCUAAGCAUACUACCGAAGCUAUGGAUCCCAAGGGAUGGUAGGGGAGCGUUCCAUGAACGGAGAAGUACGACCGAAAGGACGUGUGGAGAUCAUGGAAGAGAGAAUGCCGGUGUGAGUAGCGGAACGUGGGUGAGAAUCCCACGCACCGAAAACCCAAGGUUUCCAGAGGAAGGUUCGUCCGCUCUGGGUAAGUCGGGACCUAAGGCGAGGCCGAAAGGCGUAGUCGAUGGACAACAGGUAGAGAUUCCUGUACCCGUAUAUAUGUGAAGGAAUGACGGAGAGAGGAAGCUGCAGCCAGCGGCUGGAAGAGCUGGUGCAAGCGAGAUAUCGGGAUGGCAGGCAAAUCCACCAUCCGAAACGAGAAGGCGUGAAGCGUACGGAAAGCUAAGGCGAGUACGGAAGGCAGUGGAGGAGCUUCCAAGAAAAGUUUCUAACGAAAGUAUAUGUGACCCGUACCGAAAAUGGACACACAUGGGUGAGGAGAGAAUCCUAAGGUGAGCGAGAGAACUAUAGCUAAGGAACUCUGCAAAAUGACUCCGUAACUUAGGGAGAAGGAGUGCUCAUAGAGAUAUGAGCCGCAGUGAAACGGCCCAAGCGACUGUUUACCAAAAACACAGCUCUCUGCUAAGCCGCAAGGCGAAGUAUAGGGGGUGACGCCUGCCCGGUGCUGGAAGGUUAAGGGGAGGGGUUAACGCAAGUGAAGCCCUGAACUGAAGCCCCAGUAAACGGCGGCCGUAACUAUAACGGUCCUAAGGUAGCGAAAUUCCUUGUCAGGUAAGUUCUGACCCGCACGAAUGGUGUAACGAUUUGGGCACUGUCUCAACAACCCGCCCGGCGAAAUUGUAGUACCGGUGAAGAUGCCGGUUACCCGCGACUAGACGGAAAGACCCCAUGGAGCUUUACUACAACUUAAUAUUGAGUAAUUGCAAAUCAUGUAGAGGAUAGGUGGGAGGCUAUGAAGUAAUGGCGCUAGCUAUUAUGGAGCCGCCCUUGGAAUACCACCCUUGAUUUACAGUUAUUCUAACUUCCUCCCUGGAUGGGAGGGAAGACAGUGUUAGGCGGGUAGUUUGGCUGGGGCGGCCGCCUCCCAAAUAGUAACGGAGGCGCCCUAAGGUACCCUCAGUAUGGUCGGAAAUCAUACGUAGAGCGCAAAUGCAUAAGGGUGCUUGACUGCGAGACACACAGGUCGAGCAGGUACGAAAGUAGGGAUUAGUGACCAGGCGGUUUCAUUGUGGAAUGGCCGUCGCUUAACGGAUAAAAGCUACCCUGGGGAUAACAGGCUGAUCGCGUCCAAGAGUUCACUUCGACGACGCGGUUUGGCACCUCGAUGUCGGCUCAUCACAUCCUGGAGGGGCAGUACCUUCCAAGGGUUAGGCUGUUCGCCUAUUAAAGUGGUACGCGAGCUGGGUUCAAAACGUCGUGAGACAGUUUGGUCCCUAUCUGUCGUGGGCGUAGGAAGUUUGAAAGGAUCUGACCCUAGUACGCAAGGACCAGGUUGGACGUAACUACGGUACACCGGUUGUUUCGCCAGAAGCAUAGCCGGGUAGCCGCUUACGGAUCGAAUAAACGCUGAAAGCAUCUAAGCGUGAAAUCGUCCUUAAGAUGAGACUUCCGAUUCUAACGAAUUAAGAUCCCUUCUAUGUUAGGAGGUUGAUAGGUCACAGAUGUACGCAUAGUGAUAUGUUUAGUCGAGUGAUACUAAUAGAUCGAUCACUUAUUUCA
rnacentral:rRNA from 1 species